rnacentral:rRNA from 1 species
CCUACGGGGGGCAGCAGUGAGGAAUAUUGGUCAAUGGACGAGAGUCUGAACCAGCCAAGUAGCGUGAAGGAUGACUGCCCUAUGGGUUGUAAACUUCUUUUAUAUGGGAAUACAAUGUUCCGAGUGUGGGAUUUUGUAUGUACCAUAUGAAUAAGGAUCGGCUAACUCCGUGCCAGCAGCCGCGGUAAUACGGAGGAUCCGAGCGUUAUCCGGAUUUAUUGGGUUUAAGGGGAGCGUAGGUGGAUUGUUAAGUCAGUUGUGAAAGUUUGCGGCUCAACCGUAAAAUUGCAGUUGAAACUGGCAGUCUUGAGUACAGUAGAGGUGGGCGGAAUUCGUGGUGUAGCGGUGAAAUGCUUAGAUAUCACGAAGAACACCGAUUGCGAAGGCAGUUCACUGGACUGCAACUGACACUGAGGCUCGAAAGUGUGGGUAUCAAACAGGAUUAGAUACCCCAGUAGUC